CAACAGCAAACUCCUGCACACAUGCCAUCUUCAGCCAUAAGGAACCUGUUCUACUGUUCCCAGUGUCAUUCUCACUUGAAAGGUAAUCUUCAGCUCUGAAGACAGCAAAGCCACCAGGAUGUCCUGCCUCUGGAUAAGUCUGAGUCUGCUCUUUGUCCUACACCACAGCGUAUUAUCAGAUCAAGUAGUGAAACUGAUGUGUCCCCAAACAGUGGAAGUCAAUGUUGAAAACACGAUGAUAAACUGCAGCAUAAAAUCCACCAAACCCGACUGUCAAGGCAUAAGUUUCAGCUGGAAAAACAAAACGGGAACUGACCUGUGUAAAAACAAUAAUUACAUGUGUAAAUGGGAUAACAAGACUUACGUGUUGCUGACCAUCGUAAAAGCCACAACAGAAGAAACUGUCACAGCUGAUGUUGUGAUGGGUUGUGGUAUGGGUGAAAGUACCACAGUAAAGGUUUAUUCUGCAACAGCUAAGACAUCUGGGGAUCUAAGAAAUGGAACUCCUGGGACAGCUAUCAUGCUUGGUGUUGUUAUUAUUAUUUUGGGGUAUUUCAUAUUUCUUGUAUAAAACCAAAAGAGACAUUUAAAGAAAUGCUGCUUGUCAUCCCAAAGGCUACUUCAGCUCUAACUCACAAGAUCUAAGGAGCAAAAGGGAAGAAGAGUCAAAGUUUCAGCCUAAAGCUGUUUAAUAUCAGACACAAUAUUUCACAACAGCUUUUUCAAACAUGAGUAACCAAGCUUAAAUCCCUUCACAAUGUAUGUAGUGGCCGGUUCACCGUCUGAAAGGUAGACUUUACCGGUGUGGUAUACUUCUGCUGUACCACCCGUGGGACAGGUGUGUCAGUACAAAAACAUAAAGGAGGGGUAUUAAACUGCAUCCUACAGACUGUCUGCCUGACAGAGGUGUCAAAUAACAAAGUACAAAUACUUUCUUGCCUUACCUAAGUAAAAUUUUGGGUAUUUAUACUUUUCUGGAGUAAUUAUUUUCAGCUGACCUUUUACUUACUCCUUGCAUUUUGACGCAAUUAUCAGUACUUUCUACUUCUGACAUUUUUAAAAUAGCCUUGUUACUCUUUCAUUUUAACUUGUUUUUAUUCCGGCUUGUCAUCGUUCAAAAUAAUAAUAAAAAAAAAAAAAAAAAACUACACACACCCUAUUGGUUUGUCCAUGAUCCAGCUGCACAUGACACAAAUUACAUCACAGUCCAACCAGUAGGGCUGGGCGUAUCAAUCCUAAUAUCAGUAGCAAUGCUAAUAUCUAUAGAACUAUAGUUCUAUACCAGCGUGUUGAGAUAGAUUUUUUUUCUCAAACAAUUGUGUGUGAUAAAAAGGAAUAACAGAGUUCUUUUAUUAUUUUGUUACAUUGUUGAUGUUAUUUUAUAUUGUUUACAAACAAAAAAAGCUUAAAUUUAAAUUUCUCAGUUUAGCCAGUUUGUUAUUAAGAUGUUUUAUUUGACUAAAAUCUUUAUAUCGCAUUUUAUUAUGAUCAUAAUCAUCAUCAAUAAUCGAAGGCAUAAUCAUUAAAUGAGACAUUUCAAGCAAAAAGUAUCAGUAUCGGUAUCUGUGAUACUUGCGUUAUUGCCCAAACAUAUGUAGCCUAGUACAAAUAUGAGGCAGAGACCCAGGAGAACAGGUAGUCUAUAUCAUCCUAUAUUUUCAACAUUGACAUUUUGAAUAUAAAAUUAUGGUCAAUAUGGUCUUUAGAAUAAUGUUUUUUUGUUUGUUUGUUUGUUUGUUUGUUUGUUUUUGGGGGUGGGGUAGUGCUCUAUAGGCUGUCCUUUAUGGCAAUUCUUUCCUUUCAUUACUUCUACUUUAAACUUUAAGGAGUUUUGAAAUCAGUAUUUUUACUUUUACUUGGAUAAAAAGCUUGAGUUGAUACUUCAACUUCUACAAGUCUUUUUAAACCCUAGCAUCUAUACUUCUACCUGAGUAAUGAAUGUGAAUACUUUUGACACCUCUGCU